rnacentral:rRNA from 1 species
GAUGAACGCUGGCGGCGUGCCUAAUACAUGCAAGUCGAGCGAACGGACGAGAAGCUUGCUUCUCUGAUGUUAGCGGCGGACGGGUGAGUAACACGUGGAUAACCUACCUAUAAGACUGGGAUAACUUCGGGAAACCGUAGCUAAUACCGGUUAAUAUUUUGAACCGCAUGGUUCAAAAGUGAAAGACGGUCUUGCUGUCACUUAUAGAUGGAUCCGCGCUGCAUUAGCUAGUUGGUAAGGUAACGGCUUACCAAGGCAACGAUGCAUAGCCGACCUGAGAGGGUGAUCGGCCACACUGGAACUGAGACACGGUCCAGACUCCUACGGGAGGCAGCAGUAGGGAAUCUUCCGCAAUGGGCGAAAGCCUGACGGAGCAACGCCGCGUGAGUGAUGAAGGUCUUCGGAUCGUAAAACUCUGUUAUUAGGGAGGAACAUAUGUGUAAGUAACUGUGCACAUCUUGACGGUACCUAAUCAGAAAGCCACGGCUAACUACGUG